CAGCAUUUCCUGCCCCCUUCCGCAUCUGGGAGUUGGUACGGUAGCAGUUAAACUAAAACCCCCUGCACUGCUGCCUACGGCAUCUAUUGAAGUAUGCACAUUCAUUUUAUAUUUAUUGAGUUCAUUAAUUCUAAUAUUUUUCUGUUGUGUUGUGGGGUUGCCAGGUAGCCAAUGCUAUAAAAUGCAAAUGAUGACAUCACUGCCUUCUGAUGUAUAAUGUUUGCUGUUCUGUGCUUUUUUAUCAUAUUGUCUUGGACUCUCCAGACACUGGUGGAAGGCGACGACGCAGACACCCGUCUUGUCCCUCGCUCGAGCUGGACUUGCCUGCAGUGGCCCGCCCCUGAAUGUCACUAACCGCCACGCUGACAUCUGAUGCUGACAUUCCUCAUCAUUUCCACGUGAGGUCUGGCUGGCUCUCCUUAGCAAGCUUUUCAGAAUCGAGGCUGCACCAAUAUGGACCCUGCCACCGCAGACGAGCAGCAAGCCAAGAAAGAAACAAAGCAGAAACCAUCUUCCACUUGGUCAGACAAACUUCAAAACUCAGAACCUCUGCCAGUUGUAGGGCUGCAGGACUGAAUCCCUGCUUUGCUCCUUCAAGCCAGAGACAACAUGAGGCUGUGCAGAGCACUAACUGUGGGUCUCACUGAGUCACCAAGUUCCCCAGCUGGGCUCAAACUUGUAUUCCUCCUGCCUCCGCCUUCUGGAGUGGUGGGAUUGCAGGCAUUCUCCACCACGCUGGGUCUCAACUCGAGCCCCUUGUGUAAUACCAAAGGAAGCAGGCACAGCAGAAAGGCAUACCUCAGAACCAAGCCUCUCCAGACCGGUGAAUCGGCUAGUACCUCGGUCUUGGACUCCUCAGUUUCUAGCUAUGUGAGAAAAUAAUUUCUUCAUAAGUUACCCAGUCAUGAGCACUACAAACAAGGAAUCAAAGCACUUACAAGAGUAGAGCACUGGAGCACCACCGCGUUUACACAGUUUGAAUGAACUGCUUUGGACCACGCGCCAACCAAAUGUUUGACUAGCAAAUGUCUGUACGAGUGCUUGAAUUUUGCCUGAAUCCUGCUUUUAUUAUUACCUCACAGCUGCUUUGUGAGACAGCCACUAACCAUAAUCUCAAACCUCACUGAUGGCUACUACCAAUCUCCAUAAAGAAUCUAAAGGCUUUGCACGUCUAACUUGGCUCUGUAACAUAUACCCUGCUAGCCAGGCCCAAUCAGAAGAUAUGAAAGAAAAGUUAGG